rnacentral:rRNA from 1 species
UUUUAGCCUUCGGGUGGGGAAUAACUCAGGGAAACUUGAGCUAAUACCGCAUAAUGCAGCGGCUCGACAUCGAGACAGUUGUUAAAGCGGGGGAUUCCGCAAGGAACCUCGCGCCUGAAGAGAAGCCUGCGGCAGAUUAGCUAGUUGGUAAGGUAAUGGCUUACCAAGGCGACGAUCUGUAACCGGCCUGAGAGGGCGGUCGGUCACACUGACACUGACAUACGGGUCAG